rnacentral:misc_RNA from 1 species
GAUGAAGAACGUAGCGAAAUGCGAUAAGUAAUGUGAAUUGCAGAAUUCAGGGAAUCAUCGAAUCUUUGAACGCACAUUGCGCCCGCCAGUAUUCUGGCGGGCAUGCCUGUUCGAGCGUCAUUUCAACCAUCAAGCCCCAGGCUUGUGUUGGGGACCUGCGGCUGCCGCAGGCCCUGAAAACCAGUGGCGGGCUCGCUGUCACACCGGGCGUAGUAGAUUUUAUCUCGCUCUGGGCGUGCUGCGGGUUCCGGCCGUUAAAAAACCCUUUUAACCCAAGGUUGACCUCGGAUCAGGUAGGAAUACCCGCUGAACUUAAGCAUAUCAAUAAGCGGAGGA